GGGUGCGAUCCUACCAGCACUAAUGCACCGGAUCCCAUCAGAACUCCGCAAUUAAGCGUGCUUGGGCGAGAGUAGUACUAGGAUGAAUGAUUUGUUCUAGAAUUUUCUAGUGCAUUCU
rnacentral:rRNA from 1 species